AGAGUUUACUAUGCUCAGAUUGAACGCUGGCGGAUGCUUGGCUUACGCAAGUCGAACGGCAGCACGGACUUCGGUCUGGUGGCGAGUGGCGAACGGGUGAGUACGUAUCGGGACGCCUAGUAGCGGGGGAUAACUACGCGAAAGCGCAGCUAAUACCGCAUACGCCCUUCGUGGUGCGGUGGAUCUCUGGGCCUCGCACUAUUAGAGCGGCUGAUAUCGGAUUAGCUACACGUGGGUAACGGCUCACCAAGGGGCGACGAUCCGUAGCUGGUUUGAGAGGAUGACCAGCCACACUGGGACUGAGACACGGCCCAGACUCCUACGGAGGCAGCAGUGGGGAAUUUUGGACAGUCGGGGAAACCCCAAUCCAGCCAUCCCGCGUGUGCGAUGAAGGCCUUCGGGUUGUAAAGCACUUUUGGCAGGAAAAGAAACGGUACGGAUAAUACCUUCGUGCAACUGACGGUACCUGCAGAAUAAGCACCGCCAACUACGUGCCAGCAGCCGCGGUACACGUAGGGUGCAAGCGUUAAUCGGAAUUACUGGGCGUAAGCGUGCGCAGGCGGUUCGGAAAGAAGAAAGAUGUGAAAUCCCAGAGCUUAACUUUGGAACUGCAUUUUUAACUACUGAGCGAGUGUGUCAGAGGGAGGUGGAAUUCCGCGUGCAGUGAAAUGCGUGGAUAUGCGGAGGAACACCGAUGGCGAAGGCAGCCUCCUGGGAUAACACUGACGCUCAUGCACGAAAGCGUGGAGCAAACAGGACGACACUGUAGUCCACGCCCUAAACGAUGUCAACUAGCUGUUGGGGCCUUCGGGCUCGGUAGCGCAGCUAACGCGGUGAAGUUGACCGCCUGGGAGCAUGGUCUAUUUAAAACUCAAAGAAUUGAUUUGGGACCCGCACAAGCGGUGGAUGAUGUGGAUUAAUUCGAUGUAACGUGCGAAAACCUUACCUACCCUUGACAUGUUCGGGAAUCCCGAAGAGAUUUGGGAGUGCUCGCAAGAGAACUGUUACAGGUGCUGCAUGGUUGUCGUCAGCUCGUGGUCGCAGAGAUGUUAAGUCCCGCAACGAGCGCAACCUUGUCAUUAGUUGCUACGAAAGGGCACUCUAUCGAGACUUGCCGGUGACAAACCGGAGGAAGGUGGGGAUGACGUCAAGUCCUCAUGGCCCUUAUGGGUAGGGCUUCACACGUCAUACAAUGGUCGGGACAGAGGUCGCCAACCCGCGAGGGGGAGCCAAUCCUAGAAACCCGAUCGUAGUCCGGAUCGGCCUGCAACUCGACGGCGCGGAAGUCGGAACUGCUAGUAAUCGCGGAUCAGCAUGUCGCGGUGAAUACGUUCCCGGGUCUUGUACACACCGCCUGUCACACCAUGGGAGUGGGUUUUACCAGAAGUAGUUAGGCUUAACCGUAAGGAGGGCGAUUACCACGGUAGGAUUCGGCGACUGGGGUGAAGUCGUAACAGCGUG
rnacentral:rRNA from 1 species